rfam:Trichobilharzia regenti genome assembly, scaffold: TRE_contig0004846
GUACUGUGAAGAGUCCCAAACUAGUGGGACGAAACAGCUGUCCAGUAC